AGUUCGGAUUGAAGGCUGAAAUUCGCCUUCAUGAAGCUGGAAUUGCUAGUAAUGGCAGGUCAGCAUACUGCCGUGAAUACGUUCCCGGGCCUUGUACACACCGCCCGUCACACCAUGAGAGUUGGAAAUACCCGAAGCCUGUGAGCUAACUGUAAAGAGGCAGCAGUCGAAGGUAGAGCCAAUGAUUGGGGUGAAGUCGUAACAAGGUAUC
rnacentral:rRNA from 1 species